GCGAGCGCUGCUGCUGCCGCCGCUGCUCCGCCAAACUGCUGACUUUCCAGAGCUUAUUUUUAGCCCGGAGACUAAAUAUUAUUAGCUACAUUUCUACGUAGGAAGAAUCGGAAGCGCGGGGAGGGGUGGGGGAAGGCACUAGAGAUAGGGAGGGAGAUGAGCAGAAAGCUUAUCCGUAUGAUCUCCAGCUGGGGGGGCUGCGUUUGGGUUUCAGGCUUGGCAAACGCGCACACACACACACCAUUAAUUAUAGCAAAGUAGCUGCGGAUAUUGGAUCAUCAGGAAUACAUGCACGGCUCUCCCUUUGAGCCUUAGGUUGCGUAUACAGAGGGGUCAGCUAAUCUCCGUGUAGGUAAAGAUCAGCUGCGUCCCUUUAUCUGUGAAAGAUCAGUCCUGCACAUCAGUGCCAGCUAGAGCUCAGCUGCAUCUCUUUAGCUAUGCAAAAUCAACUUGAAUCCUUAGCCAGGAAGGGAAAAAAAAAAAAAAAAUCCGUCGCAUCUACUUCUCUUGGUAAAGAUCAGUUGCAUCUCUGCCCAAAGCAUGCACAUACACAUAGACGAGAUUCCCAGGUUAAAUCAGGCACAACUUAAGUUAACUCGUAGUUAAAACUCAUCCAGCUUUUCCUUCCUUCCUCACACACAUCAAGCAGCAAGCAAGGUAACAAAACUAGGCGAAGAGCAGGCACCCAUCCCCGCACCACAGAGAGGUAGAGGCAGGAGCCAGAGGGGCUGCCGGGGGUGUCCCCCCUCUUGUCCCCCCUCUGCUUACCUUGGUUACAGCUAACACCACGAGCAGUGGCUAGAUCGCGGAGAUAAAUACUGGCAUUUCCCAAAGUUGACACCGUCAAACCAACCCCCGGAGCUUGCAAGACUCUUUUUUUUUUUUUUUUUUUUUUUUUUUUUUUUUUUUAUCCCUCCUCUCUUGUUCCUAUUCCAGUCCGCACCGCUAGGAAUUCAACUUAGCCCAGCUCCAGCGGGGCGAGAGGGCGGCGGGCGGGGAGAGGAGGGGAGUGGAAGCACCGAGGGUUGGCGGGGGAGGGAAGCCGGUACCCAGCGCCAGUGGCUCCCCGAGCCCGCCGGGUCGCGGAGCGAUGCGGAGCGGUGCGGGGCCGCCUCCGCCGGCCCCCGCCGCCGCUGUCCAGGGUACUGCCGCCGCCGCCUCCCCGCUUCGCUCCGCCGCCGCGCCCGCUGCGCGCCCGGGCCGCUCCUCGCCGCGGCCCCCCGCCUAUCACGUGCCGCUCCGCGCGGUUCCGCGCCCCCUCCGGGGCAGCCCCGAGCCCCCGGCCCCCCCGACGGCAGGCGGCAGCGCCCGCCGAGAGAGAGGCGAGCGCCCGGCGGCAGCCCGGCCGCCACAGCUCCAAGUUUCUCUCUCAGACGCGCCGUUUCCAUCGCAGCCCUAAAUCAAAGAGCGCCGCAAUUAAAGUUACACCGUCUAAAACACAAUUCUCCCGGCCUCCGCCGGUUACGCUCUUUGGCGUAUUAAGUACUAUAAAGCCGAGCCCGUGGUAUCAGAUGCUGUCGUUAAGCAACAUCUCAAGCUUUUUGGUGUAGUUGUUUUGUUCUUCUCUCCAGGUUUUUUUUUUUUGGUUUGGUUUUUUUUUUUUUUUUUUUUUUUUUUUUGGUAGGUACUCACCAUUGUUUCUUUGCUGUCCUGGAGACAGAAGUGGUUUAAAAUCCAGUCUCUCCAACAGAUGCUGGAAGGUAAUGUGUCUUGUUUGAAGUCAUCAUGUGAGAACUUCUGCUUUGCUCAGUGGAUCGCCCACCACUUGGUGUGACUUAUGAAUCUAAUAACCCUUUGCAAUAUCCGCAAGCUUAAACUCUCCACCACCUUGGUGCCUACAGAAGACAGAAAGCAACUGGCAGCGUGUUUUAAAAACCUAUAGAUUUACGCAAACGCCUUAGCUCAGAGUCACGUUUCCCUCUGAGUUCUUACGUGAUCUUAAUGAAUGAGAGGGGUUACCAACCAAUACAGUAUAAAACGUGAUGGCAGCCGCCUCCCAGGAAAUCGGAGCGGGACACUAAAAUUCCCGAGCGAAGUCCUGGCCGGCCGGGCGCGCUCCGCAGCGAGCGUUGACUCCCACCGCCCUCCUCCCACCUCCCGGCUCGCACCUGGGGCCGUGCAAGACGAGCCGGCUCCGGAGAUUUAUGUUCGGGACAGGUCCCCUGUAAGUGCUGAAAGAUCUCUGCAGAGACUUUAAUAGAUGCAAACUCUCAAGAAACAUCUUUCUGUCAAAACUGAAACAGAUUGUGGUGUUCAGCAGCACAUUUCUCUACUAGGGAAACAUUCUUGGUACUGUAGUUUUGCUCUUUGUCUGAUGUUUUCUCCAAGGAUUUUCUGAUUAAACAUGGUGAUGAUGGAUGACAGCAGUCAUACUACAGUUGCUACUAACACACACAAGCCUUGCCAGAGGUGAAGUAGAUGUAAUUUGCUUUUAUUUAAAAGCUUUUGUUCGAUAUUACUUUCACAGCCUGAUCUGGCACUUGUAGUCAAGCAACAUUCCCAGUUCCAUCAGCCCUUAAGGUCCUGGUCUGAUUUUAUGAGGAAAAAAAAAGGGACAGACCUUUGGCUUGAUGGUUUUCUGGGAUCUCUGCCACAGUCUGGAAAGCAACAAAUUCCUCUACCUGGUGGUUUUGGUGUGUGUAGGAAAGGGGAUAAAUCUUCAGAUGACUUGCUGCUGGACACUAGCAGUAUCAUGGAAUGUACUAAAAAAUAAUAAAAAUCCUGAUCCUGAUUGCUUCUUUGAAGGUAGAGCAUAAUGAUUUUUAUAUGCCGAUAGUAAAAUACACAGCCAAGGUACACUAUACUAACUUCAAUGGAAAGAACAACUUAAAAAUUCUAAUAUGAAAGGGAAAACUUGAUAAAACUCUGAGUAAUACAUGUAAAACAUGCAUAUCAAAUGAUAUUUAUACAACAUAUGAACAAAAUAAAGUAGUUCCUGGAAA